GACGAACGCUGGCGGCGUGCCUAACACAUGCAAGUCGAACGGAAAGGCCCUGCUUUUGUGGGGUUCUCGUUUGGCGAACGGGUGAGUAACACGUGAGUAACCUGCCCUUGACUUUGGGAUAACUUCAGGAAACUGGGGCUAACACCGGAUAGGAUCUCCUGCUGCAUGGUGGGGGUUGGAAAGUUUCGGCGGUUGGGGAUAGACUCGCGGCUUAUCAGCUUGUUGGUGGGGUAGUGGCAUACCAAGUCUUUGACGGGUAGGCCACCUGAGAGGGUAACCGGCCACAUUACGACUGCGAUACGGACCAGAAUCGUACGGGCCGCAGUAGGCGGAAAUCUUACACAAUGAGGGGAAGCCUGAUGCAGAAGCGCCGGGUGCGGGAAACCCGCCUUCGAGUUAUGAACAGCUUUCGCAUGAGACGAAGCGUGCGUGACGGUAAUGGGUAAAUAAGCACCGGCUAACUACGUG
rnacentral:rRNA from 1 species